GUGAUCACUUCUGCAGCACAUAUACUAAAAUUGGAAUGAUAUAGAGAAGAUUAGCACGGCUCCUGCACAAGGAUGACAUAUAAAUUCGUGAAACGUUCCAUAUUUUU
ensembl:snRNA U6 U6 spliceosomal RNA